rnacentral:rRNA from 1 species
GAUGAACCCUAGCUGGAGGCUUAAUACAUGCAAGUCGAGCGGGAUUGGGUAGCAAUACCCAUGAGAGCGGCGCACGGGUGAGUAACGCGUACACGACCUACCUCUAACAGGGGGAUAGCCCUGGGAAACUGGGAUUAAUACCGCAUAUAAUUCUGAAUAAUAAAGGUUUGGAAUGAAAGCUGAGGCGGUUAGAGAUGGGUGUGCGUCUGAUUAGCUAGUUGGUGGGGUAACGGCCUACCAAGGCGAUGAUCAGUAGGGGGCGUGAGAGCGUGGUCCCCCACACGGGUACUGAGACACGGACCCGACUCCUACGGGAGGCAGCAGUAAGGAAUAUUGGUCAAUGGGCGAAAGCCUGAACCAGCCAUCCAGCGUGCAGGAAGAAGGCCCUAUGGGUUGUAAACUGCUUUUAUCAGGGAAGAAACCUCUGGAUUUACUCCGGAGCUGACGGUACCUGAAGAAUAAGCACCGGCUAACUCCGUGCCAGCCGCCGCCGUAA